UACGGAGGGUGCAAGCGUUGUCCGGAUUUAUUGGGUUUAAAGGGUGCGUAGGCGGCUUUUUAAGUCAGUGGUGAAAGACAACAGCUCAACUGUUGCAGUGCCAUUGAUACUGAAGAGCUUGAGUACAGAUGAGGUAAGGCGGAAUUUAUGGUGUAGCGGUGAAAUGCAUAGAUACCAUAAAGAACACCUAUUGCGAAGGCAGCUUACUAGCUGUAACUGACGCUGAGGGCACGAAAGUG
rnacentral:rRNA from 1 species